rnacentral:rRNA from 1 species
CGAACACGGCCGUGAAACGCCCCAGCGCCAAUGGUACUUCGUCUCAAGACGCGGGAGAGUAGGUCGCUGCCAGGU